GCUCCGUUAGUGUAGUCCGGUCAAUCACGCGGCCCUUUCGAGGCCGCAACCCGGGUUCGAAUCCCGGACGGAGCA
rnacentral:tRNA from 1 species